UACGUAGGGGGCGAGCGUUGUCCGGAUUCAUUGGGCGUAAAGCGCGCGUAGGCGGCCCGGUAAGUCCGCUGUAAAAGUCAGGGGCUCAACCCUUGAACGCCGGUGGAUACUGCCGGGCUAGAGUCCGGAAGAGGCGAGUGGAAUUCCAGGUGUAGCGGUGAAAUGCGUAGAUAUCUGGAGGAAUACCGGUGGCGAAGGCGGCAUCCUGGACCGGCAUUGACGCUGAAGCGCGAAAGCUAGGGGAGCAAACGGG
rnacentral:rRNA from 1 species